AGUGAACGCUGGCGGUAGGCCUAACACAUGCAAGUCGAACGGCAGCACAGUAAGAGCUUGCUCUUACGGGUGGCGAGUGGCGGACGGGUGAGGAAUACAUCGGAAUCUACUUUUUCGUGGGGGAUAACGUAGGGAAACUUACGCUAAUACCGCAUACGACCUACGGGUGAAAGCAGGGGAUCUUCGGACCUUGCGCGAUUGAAUGAGCCGAUGUCGGAUUAGCUAGUUGGCGGGGUAAAGGCCCACCAAGGCGACGAUCCGUAGUUGGUCUGAGAGGAUGAUCAGCGACACUGGAACUGAGACACGGUCCAGCCUCCUACGGGAGGCAGCAGUGGGGAAUAUUGGACAAUGGGGGCAGGCCUGAUCCAGCAAUACCGCGUGGGUGAAGAAGGCCGUCGGGUUGUAAAGCCCUUUUGUUGGGAAAGAAAAGCAGCAGGUUAAUACCCCGCUGUUCUGACGGUACCCAAAGAAUAAGCACCGGCUAACUUCGUG
rnacentral:rRNA from 1 species